rnacentral:rRNA from 1 species
CACGGAGGGUGCAAGCGUUAUUCGGAAUCACUGGGCGUAAAGAGCGCGUAGGCGGUCUCUUAAGUCAGAUGUGAAAGCCCGGGGCUAAACCCCGGAAGUGCAUUUGAAACUAAGGGACUUGAGUAUGGGAGAGAGAAGUGGAAUUCCUGGUGUAGCGGUGAAAUGCGUAGAUAUCAGGAGGAACACAGGUGGCGAUGGCGACUUCCUGGACCAAUACUGACGCUGAGGCGCGAAGGCGUGGGGAGCAAACAGG